rnacentral:rRNA from 1 species
UACGAGGGGGGCAAGCGUUGUUCGGAAUUAUUGGGCGUAAAGGGCGCGUAGGCGGUGCGGUAAGUCACCUGUGAAACCUCUAGGCUCAACCUAGAGCCUGCAGGCGAAACUGCCGUGCUUGAGGGUGGGAGAGGUGCGUGGAAUUCCCGGUGUAGCGGUGAAAUGCGUAGAUAUCGGUAGGAACACCUGUGGCGAAAGCGGCGCACUGGACCACAUCUGGCGCUGAGGCGCGAAAGCUAGGGGAGCAAACAGG